rnacentral:rRNA from 1 species
UACGUAGGGUGCAAGCGUUUGUCCGGAAUUAUUGGGCUUAAAGCGCGUGUAGGCGGGCCGCCACGUCGGCUGCUGAAAUCCCCCGGCUCAACCGGGGAAGUGGCACCGAUACGAGCGGCCUCGAGGGGGGUAGGGGGGUCUGGAACUUCCGGUGGAGCGGUGAAAUGCGUUGAGAUCGGAAGGAACGCCCGUGGCGAAAGCGAGGCCCUGGACCCUUACUGACGCUGAGACGCGAAAGCCAGGGGAGCGAACGGG